rnacentral:rRNA from 1 species
GGUUAAGUUAGAAAGGGCGCACGGUGGAUGCCUUGACACUAGGAGUCGAUGAAGGACGGGACUAACGCCGAUAUGCUUCGGGGAGCUGUAAGUAAGCUUUGAUCCGAAGAUUUCCGAAUGGGGAAACCCACCAUACGUAAUGGUAUGGUAUCCUUAUCUGAAUACAUAGGGUAAGGAAGACAGACCCAGGGAACUGAAACAUCUAAGUACCUGGAGGAAGAGAAAGCAAAUGCGAUUUCCUGAGUAGCGGCGAGCGAAACGGAACAUAGCCCAAACCAAGAGGCUUGCCUCUUGGGGUUGUAGGACAUUCUAUACGGAGUUACAAAGGAACGAGGUAGACGAAGCGACCUGGAAAGGUCCGUCGUAGAGGGUAACAACCCCGUAGUCGAAACUUCGUUCUCUCUUGAAUGUAUCCUGAGUACGGCGGAACACGUGAAAUUCCGUCGGAAUCUGGGAGGACCAUCUCCCAAGGCUAAAUACUCCCUAGUGAUCGAUAGUGAACCAGUACCGUGAGGGAAAGGUGAAAAGCACCCCGGAAGGGGAGUGAAAGAGAUCCUGAAACCGUGUGCCUACAAAUAGUCAGAGCCCGUUAACGGGUGAUGGCGUGCCUUUUGUAGAAUGAACCGGCGAGUUACGAUCCCGUGCGAGGUUAAGCUGAAGAGGCGGAGCCGCAGCGAAAGCGAGUCUGAAUAGGGCGUUUAGUACGUGGUCGUAGACCCGAAACCAGGUGAUCUACCCAUGUCCAGGGUGAAGUUCAGGUAACACUGAAUGGAGGCCCGAACCCACGCACGUUGAAAAGUGCGGGGAUGAGGUGUGGGUAGCGGAGAAAUUCCAAUCGAACCUGGAGAUAGCUGGUUCUCCCCGAAAUAGCUUUAGGGCUAGCCUUAAGUGUAAGAGUCUUGGAGGUAGAGCACUGAUUGGACUAGGGGUCCUCAUCGGAUUACCGAAUUCAGUCAAACUCCGAAUGCCAAUGACUUAUCCUUAGGAGUCAGACUGCGAGUGAUAAGAUCCGUAGUCAAAAGGGAAACAGCCCAGACCGCCAGCUAAGGUCCCAAAGUGUGUAUUAAGUGGAAAAGGAUGUGGAGUUGCUUAGACAACUAGGAUGUUGGCUUAGAAGCAGCCACCAUUUAAAGAGUGCGUAAUAGCUCACUAGUCGAGUGACUCUGCGCCGAAAAUGUACCGGGGCUAAAUACACCACCGAAGCUGCGGAUUGAUACCAAUGGUAUCAGUGGUAGGGGAGCGUUCUAAGGACAGUGAAGUCAGACCGGAAGGACUGGUGGAGUGCUUAGAAGUGAGAAUGCCGGUAUGAGUAGCGAAAGACGGGUGAGAAUCCCGUCCACCGAAUGCCUAAGGUUUCCUGAGGAAGGCUCGUCCGCUCAGGGUUAGUCAGGACCUAAGCCGAGGCCGACAGGCGUAGGCGAUGGACAACAGGUUGAUAUUCCUGUACCACCUCUUUAUCGUUUGAGCAAUGGAGGGACGCAGAAGGAUAGAAGAAGCGUGCGAUUGGUUGUGCACGUCCAAGCAGUUAGGCUGAUAAGUAGGCAAAUCCGCUUAUCGUAAAGGCUGAGCUGUGAUGGGAAGCUCCUUAUGGAGCGAAGUCUUUGAUUCCCCGCUGCCAAGAAAAGCUUCUAGCGAGAUAAAAGGUGCCUGUACCGCAAACCGACACAGGUAGGCGAGGAGAGAAUCCUAAGGUGUGCGAGAGAACUCUGGUUAAGGAACUCGGCAAAAUGACCCCGUAACUUCGGGAGAAGGGGUGCUUUCUUAACGGAAAGCCGCAGUGAAUAGGCCCAAGCGACUGUUUAGCAAAAACACAGCUCUCUGCGAAGCCGUAAGGCGAAGUAUAGGGGUGACACCUGCCCGGUGCUGGAAGGUUAAGGAGAGGGUUAGCGUAAGCGAAGCUCUGAACUGAAGCCCCAGUAAACGGCGGCCGUAACUAUAACGGUCCUAAGGUAGCGAAAUUCCUUGUCGGGUAAGUUCCGACCCGCACGAAAGGUGUAACGAUUUGGGCACUGUCUCAACCAGAGACUCGGUGAAAUUAUAGUACCUGUGAAGAUGCAGGUUACCCGCGACAGGACGGAAAGACCCCGUGGAGCUUUACUGUAGCCUGAUAUUGAAUUUUGGUACAGUUUGUACAGGAUAGGCGGGAGCCUUUGAAACCGGAGCGCUAGCUUCGGUGGAGGCGCUGGUGGGAUACCGCCCUGACUGUAUUGAAAUUCUAACCUACGGGUCUUAUCGACCCGGGAGACAGUGUCAGGUGGGCAGUUUGACUGGGGCGGUCGCCUCCUAAAGUGUAACGGAGGCGCCCAAAGGUUCCCUCAGAAUGGUUGGAAAUCAUUCGUAGAGUGCAAAGGCAUAAGGGAGCUUGACUGCGAGACCUACAAGUCGAGCAGGGACGAAAGUCGGGCUUAGUGAUCCGGUGGUUCCGCAUGGAAGGGCCAUCGCUCAACGGAUAAAAGCUACCCCGGGGAUAACAGGCUUAUCUCCCCAAGAGUCCACAUCGACGGGGAGGUUUGGCACCUCGAUGUCGGCUCAUCGCAUCCUGGGGCUGUAGUCGGUCCCAAGGGUUGGGCUGUUCGCCCAUUAAAGCGGUACGCGAGCUGGGUUCAGAACGUCGUGAGACAGUUCGGUCCCUAUCCGUCGUGGGCGUAGGAAAUUUGAGAGGAGCUGUCCUUAGUACGAGAGGACCGGGAUGGACGCACCGCUGGUGUACCAGUUGUUCUGCCAAGGGCAUAGCUGGGUAGCUAUGUGCGGAAGGGAUAAGUGCUGAAAGCAUCUAAGCAUGAAGCCCCCCUCAAGAUGAGAUUUCCCAUAGCGUAAGCUAGUAAGAUCCCUGAAAGAUGAUCAGGUUGAUAGGUUCGAGGUGGAAGCAUGGUGACAUGUGGAGCUGACGAAUACUAAUAGAUCGAGGACUUAACCAU